UCUUGAUGCAGAACUUUACUAUGUGA
rnacentral:piRNA from 1 species